rnacentral:rRNA from 1 species
UACGGAGGGUGCAAGCGUUAUCCGGAUUCACUGGGUUUAAAGGGUGCGUAGGCGGGUAGGUAAGUCAGAGGUGAAAUCCUGGAGCUCAACUCCAGAACUGCCAUUGAUACUAUCUAUCUUGAAUAUUGUGGAGGUAAGCGGAAUAUGUCAUGUAGCGGUGAAAUGCUUAGAUAUGACAUAGAACACCCACUGCGAAGGCAGCUUACUACGCAUAUAUUGACGCUGAGGCACGAAAGCGUGGGGAUCAAACAGGAUUAGAUACCCUGGUAGUCCACGCCCUAAACUAUGGAUACUCGACAUAUGCGAUACACUGAAUGUGUCUGAGCGAAAGCAUUAAGUAUCCCACCUGGGAAGUACGUUCGCAAGAAUGAAACUCAAAGGAAUUGGCGGGGGUCCGCACAAGCGGUGGAGUAUGUGGUUUAAUUCGAUGAUACGCGAGGAACCUUACCUGGGCUAGAAUGCUGGGAGACCGCUAGUGAAAGCUAGUUUUGUAGCUAUACACUGCCAGUAAGGUGCUGCAUGGCCGUUGUCAGCUCGUGCCGUGAGGUGUUGGGUUAAGUUCCGCAACGAGCGCAACCCCUAUCUUUAGUUGCCAACAGGUAAUGCUGGGAACUUUAAAGAAACUGCCGCCGUAAGGUGUGAGGAAGGAGGGGAUGAUGUCAGGUCAUCAUGGCCUUUAUGCCCAGGGCUACCCACGUACUACAAUGGGGGAGACAAAGGGCUGCAACAUAGCGAUAUGAAGCCAAUUCCAAAAACUCCCUUUCAGUUCAGAUUGCAGGUUGCAACUUGCCUGCAUGAAGCUGGAAUCGCUAGUAAUCGUAUAUCAGCAAUGAUACGGUGAAUACGUUCCCGGACCU